GAGUUUGAUCCUGGCUCAGGAUGAACGMUAGCGGCAGGCUUAAUACAURCAAGUCGAGGGGCAGCAGCUUUAUAGCAAUAUAGAGGCUGGCGACCGGCAAACGGGUGCGGAACACGUACACAACCUUCCUUGAAUAGGGGGAUAGCCCAUAGAAAUGUGGAUUAAUACCCCGUAAUAUAGCGGUGUGGCAUCACACUGUUAUUAUAGUUUCGGCGACUCGAGAUGGGUGUGCGGCUGAUUAGGUAGUUGGCGGGGUAAAGGCCCACCAAGCCUUCGAUCAGUAGCUGAUGUGAGAGCAUGAUCAGCCACACGGGCACUGAGACACGGGCCCGACUCCUACGGGAGGCAGCAGUAAGGAAUAUUGGUCAAUGGACGCAAGUCUGAACCAGCCAUGCCGCGUGAAGGAUGAAGGUCCUCUGGAUUGUAAACUUCUUUUAUAGGGGGCGAAAAAAGGUCUUUCUAGAUCACUUGACAKUACCCG
rnacentral:rRNA from 1 species